rnacentral:ncRNA from 2 species
ACAUUCCGACAGGGGAGCGCACCACAGCGCUGAGAGUGCGGCGAGGCCUUCACGGCCACGGGCCGCAGACCCUCGGACCUGAUCCGGGUCAUACCGGCGUAGGGAGUCAGCAGCAUCAUGAA